UACGAAGGGUGCGAGCGUUGUUCGGAAUCACUGGGCGUAAAGCGCACGUAGGCGGCGCGUUAAGUCAGGGGUGAAAUCCUGGAGCUCAACUCCAGAACUGCCUUUGAUACUGGCGUGCUCGAGUGUGGGAGAGGUUGGUGGAACUCCGAGUGUAGAGGUGAAAUUCGUAGAUAUUCGGAAGAACACCGGUGGCGAAGGCGGCCAACUGGCCCAUUACUGACGCUGAGGUGCGAAAGCGUGGGGAGCAAACAGG
rnacentral:rRNA from 1 species